rnacentral:piRNA from 1 species
UUCCACAUCAGGACUACACUGGGUCGUGGA